GCCGAACACUAAAAAUGACCCACACCCUUCCCCAUCAGUGCCUAUCUUCUUCUACACCCAAAAGGAUACCAUCGACACACACAAGUAGUCGCUGUUGUGGUUGGAUUUUGUCACGGUUGCGGCGAGAUUUUGAGAUCUGGAUCGAAGGUUCCGUUUGAGGUGAUGAGUUUUAGAUCUGGCCGAGUAUUUGGUUAAGUCCGACGAUCCAUCUAGCCUGUGUAUGUUGUUGUUGUUCCGUUGUUCUUUGUCGUGCCAGUCGCACCCAUGUUAGAGCACAGGCAGCGGCGAGGUUCUGUUCGAGUCACUUGUUCGAUGUUCCGGUGCCGUUGAAAGUUCCGGUCCCAUAUGAUUUUAGUCGAGAUUUCCGGUUCAAGGAAACUGCGACCUCUGUUCGAUUCACGCUACUGAUGGAGUCCAAUUGAUUUUGAAGUCGUCGCCGGUCGAGGUCCGUUUGUGGUGGCCUAAUUUGCAGUUUUGAUUUAGUGUCAUCAUUAGCUAUUUUCUGGAUUGAAGUUAAAUGCCGGAAAUCUGUUUGUAACCUCAAUCUUCAACAAAUCAAUUGAAAUAUCACUUCAAGGCACUUCAGGUCCUCCUUGCACGGGUUGAGAGCUUCCAACAGAUUUCGGAGAUUCACUAGGUAGCUGCUUGGCAUUCGCAGCCCAAUGCUUCUCCCUCUAUCUUAUUUUCUCCUAUUUUAGUUCUGUAAUAGACUAUGUAGACUCUUUCUGUUUUAAAUCGGUUAGUAGAUAUUCAUGACUGGUGACACCCCGUUGUCGGGCUAUGUCUAUUUCGCAAUUGUACUGUUUCACCUUAUUUUGGGAUUA